GAGAACCUGACCUGUCCCCUCCUCACUAGGGCAGGUAAAGCUGGUGAGACAGAAGCUGACAUCAUGGCAUUUGCAAGGAGUGUACAGCAGCUGAGAUGAUGCAGUUCUCGCGAACACAGCCUGCUACAGAGUGAGAGAAAGCUCUAAGAAUGUCAUCGAUCAUCGAUUUUGUUUUGGGAUGCGCGAUGCGCGCGGAUGAAGGACUGACCACUAUUGAAAGAAAUAUCUUGUCCUUUGUGGAUGUGUUAGAGACAAUAAGGAGAUCUCGUAACCCCCCAAAACAGAAAAGACAAUCAAAUAAGAAAAAGAUGAAACACCACCGCCAGGGAGAUUAGUGUGGGUGUGACCGCGCUGGUGUGGGUGACAACAUCAACUGCUGCCUAAUCCUAGUCAGUGGGGGGUUGCAGUUACACUGAGGUCCAUGGUGAGGUCAGCUGUGAUCACGCGGUAAUCCUCUAGGAGAGGCCGGCAGACUGGAGGAAGU